AUUGAACGCUGGCGGCAUGCCUUACACAUGCAAGUCGAACGGUAACGCGGGGCAACCUGGCGACGAGUGGCGAACGGGUGAGUAAUACAUCGGAACGUGCCCAGUAGUGGGGGAUAGCCCGGCGAAAGCCGGAUUAAUACCGCAUACGACCUACGGGUGAAAGCGGGGGAUCGCAAGACCUCGCGCUAUUGGAGCGGCCGAUGUCAGAUUAGGUAGUUGGGGGGGUAAAGGCCUACCAAGCCUACGAUCUGUAGCUGGUCUGAGAGGGCGACCAGCCACACUGGGACUGAGACACGGCCCAGACUCCUACGGGAGGCAGCAGUGGGGAAUUUUGGACAAUGGGCGCAAGCCUGAUCCAGCCAUGCCGCGUGCGGGAAGAAGGCCUUCGGGUUGUAAACCGCUUUUGUCAGGGAAGAAACGCUCUGGAUUAAUACCUCGGGGUAAUGACGGUACCUGAAGAAUAAGCACCGGCUAACUACGUGCCAGCAGCCGCGGUAAUAC
rnacentral:rRNA from 1 species